UCUGGAGGAGGAUGUGAGUGGGGUGAGUAGCUGGAGGUCCGAGUGCCCCCCACCCCUUUCCUUCCCCUCCGCACCCCUCCCCUCUAUUACCCCCAUCUUCCAGACUGAUCGAUCCGGAGGGUCCUGCUAGUACCUACAUGUCUGUGAGUGAGGGAGGAAAAGAAAAGUGAGUGCAACUGAUUGAUGCCUUUUAGAAAAGAUGUGCAAUGUGUAACACCUGUGGACCUCUCACCUAUUGGAUGGGGUAGG